rnacentral:snRNA from 1 species
UUGCACGGGCUUGGCUCAA